GUUCAACUUUGCCCAGUGCAAUUUUUGCUUUGACAAGAGGAAUGAUUAAAGCGCUGAGUCUUUGGAGUCAGACUGUCUGGAACCAAAUCCCAUCUCUGUCUCUUCCUAAAUGCACGACCUUCGGUUGCCACCCAGGAGAAAAAAGUCUCCUGAUAGACAAACUGUCAGAGGAAGAAGAGGCUGCGGGCUUCCCCACUCUCAGGUAGUCUCUGAGUCCUCCUGAAGACAGCGUGCCUUCCACUGAGUCUCAGUCAGGCUUUCUGCCCAACGCAAAAGAGCUUGAAGCACUGAGGGUGAUUUUUCAACUCCUUUUUGGACUGCACAAAAGAGAUGGUUCCCUUUAACCUCUAGAGAGAUAUCAGAAGAGGCCAGAGCCAAGUAAAUUGAGCACGGACAUUUGUCAUGAGUUAAGAUGACCUAGCCUCUGUCAAGGAGCCACUUAGGAGCUUGACUUCUUCCUGAAGCUGUCUGAAAUGGCCUCCAGAUCUUGUAACUCUGAUCUCCUCCCUUAAUGACUGCCAAGAGCAGUUGCAUGCUCUGGCUAGUGUCUAGCUUGCUGCAUGCUAACCCUGUCCUAGCUCCCUGACCUGAACAGCCUGCUUGGCUCCCCGCAGUGGUGUUUGCUUGCCAGCUCCUGGCCAUGCCCUGGGCUGGCAGCCAGCCUCCCAGGCUGGGGGCCCAGCAGAUAUCUUGCCUUCUCCCACUCCUGCCGCUGCUAUCAGCUGUCAGGGCUCCAAACUCCUUGUAUGUCUCUGCCAAAGCUGGCUUUGCUCAAUCCAGCCUGGCAUUGUUCAUGCUUAGACAAUGACCAUGAGCUUGUUUGCUUUCUCCACCGCCUAAGAAAAAUCUGGCCCACGGACAGCCCAGGUCCGAACACCUGGGCUGGCUGAGGCUUCAGAUCAACAUGUGGCUUAAGUGCUUCUGCUGGGCCAUCCAGGGAGCUCGUCAUAUGCUGGACACUCAUUUUGGAUCAAAAAAUGGGAAAAGUUUCCUGCACUUUUCAGACAAAUACCAGCAAGUGCUUUUUUUCUUUCUGUGUCUCUUAGUUUUUAAAUGUAUUUGUUACUUUUUGAUUAAACCAGAAUAAUCUCUGGAUUCUUACAACUUCCAAAAGACCUGUGUUAACCCUUUUGGGAUGACAGCUUCUAAUUAUAUUUUAGAUGUGCAGUGAGGUGAACUGUGUCUUCUCUGUUUUUUUUUUUUUCGGUUACUUUGCAAAAGGACAUGUGAGCCUGGCCUCGCUAAUGACACCACCUUUGCAAAGAUCACACAGCAAGAAAAGUCUAGCAUGGCUGACUCCGUCCUGCUUCUAGCCUCACAGCCUGGCUGUCCCUGCUCCUUCCUGGGCAUAGGUCAGGCUAAACUAACCAUGGGAGGUAUUUGGUUUAGAGUUUA
rnacentral:lncRNA from 10 species